UACGGAGGGGGCUAGCGUUGUUCGGAAUUACUGGGCGUAAAGCGCACGUAGGCGGACAGUUAAGUCGGGGGUGAAAUCCCGGGGCUCAACCCCGGAACUGCCUUCGAUACUGGCUGUCUGGAGGUCGAGAGAGGUGAGUGGAAUUCCGAGUGUAGAGGUGAAAUUCGUAGAUAUUCGGAGGAACACCAGUGGCGAAGGCGGCUCACUGGCUCGAUACUGACGCUGAGGUGCGAAAGCGUGGGGAGCAAACAGG
rnacentral:rRNA from 1 species